rnacentral:misc_RNA from 1 species
GAUGAAGAACGCAGCGAAAUGCGAUAAGUAGUGUGAAUUGCAGAAUUCAGUGAAUCAUCGAAUCUUUGAACGCACAUUGCGCCCCUUGGUAUCCCGAGGGGCAUGCCUGUUCGAGCGUCAUUUCACCACUCAAGCCUGGCUUGGUGUUGGGCGACAUCCUCUUUGGGGACGCGCCUCGAAACGCUCGGCGGCGUGGCACCGGCUUUAAGCGUAGCAGAAUCUUUCGCUUUGGAAGUCGGGGCCCCGUCUGCCGGAAGACCUGCUCGCAAGGUUGACCUCGGAUCAGGCAGGGAUACCCGCUGAACUUAAGCAUAUCAUAAGCGGAGGA